rnacentral:rRNA from 1 species
GAUGAACGCUGGCGGCGUGCCUAAUACAUGCAAGUCGAGCGAACAGACGAGGAGCUUGCUCCUCUGACGUUAGCGGCGGACGGGUGAGUAACACGUGGAUAACCUACCUAUAAGACUGGGAUAACUUCGGGAAACCGGAGCUAAUACCGGAUAAUAUAUUGAACCGCAUGGUUCAAUAGUGAAAGACGGUUUUGCUGUCACUUAUAGAUGGAUCCGCGCCGCAUUAGCUAGUUGGUAAGGUAACGGCUUACCAAGGCAACGAUGCGUAGCCGACCUGAGAGGGUGAUCGGCCACAUUGGAACUGAGACACGGUCCAUACUCCUACGGGAGGCAGCAGUAGGGAAUCUUCCGCAAUGGGCGAAAGCCUGACGGAGCAACGCCGCGUGAGUGAUGAAGGUCUUCGGAUCGUAAUACUCUGUUAUUAGGGAAGAACAAAUGUGUAAGUAACUAUGCACGUCUUGACGGUACCUAAUCAGAAAGCCACGGCUAACUACGUG